rfam:Punica granatum cultivar Dabenzi scaffold246, whole genome shotgun sequence.
UCCUAUGAUGGCAUGAAAUCUUUGAGACCUGAUUGUCUUUAUUGGCUUGAUGACAACUACAAGCAUUAUCCCUGAGGAC